rnacentral:rRNA from 1 species
CAGAGGGUGCGAGCGUUAAUCGGAAUUACUGGGCGUAAAGCGUGCGUAGACGGUUAUUUAAGUCAGAUGUGAAAGCCCCGGGCUCAACCUGGGAAUUGCAUUUGAGACUGAAUAGCUAGGGUGCGGUAGAGGGAAGCGGAAUUUCCGGUGUAGCGGUGAAAUGCGUAGAUAUCGGAAGGAACAUCAGUGGCGAAAGCGGCUUCCUGGACCAGCACCGACGUUCAGGCACGAAAGCGUGGGGAGCAAACAGGAUUAGAUACCCUGGUAGUCCACGCCAUAAACGAUGAGGACUAGACGUUGGAGGGGUAAGCCUUUCAGUGUCGUAGCUAACGCGCUAAGUCCUCCGCCUGGGGAGUACGGCCGCAAGGUUG